UAAAUCAAAGCAUCUGAAUGGGAAAAUGGACUCUGAUCCACCAACUGCAUUUGCUGAGAAUAAAAUCCAGAGUCGCCUCCCGCCCUUUCUCUUUCCACUUUCAUAAUUUCGUCCUAAUCAAGGAUCAAAGGGGAACUGCAACUUUCUUCUCAGAAGGGCUCCCGCAAUUGUACUUCUUUCUGUUGAUUUGGGGGCACUUUCUCUUAAUCGUGAACACGGGUUACUCUACAAGAAUAAACAGAGCUAUAUCAC